UCUUCCUCAUGCUAACACCUUCCCUCUUGUCAGCCUCCGAUUGUAGCUUCUGAGUAUAGCAGCUGCCACACAUUCUCUCCCCUCUUCUCAGUGCUGCUUACAGGUCUUCUACCUCUUCCUCCGCAGUUCCCCGAAAUGGAUGCCAGUUCGGACAGCUCCCUGAGCGUAGACAAUGAAGGUUAUGAGAGUGACUCCUUGGGGGACUCUGGAAACCUCACGGAUGUGUUCCCCCGAAAUGGAUAUCGGCGACUCUGAAGUUGUGUGCAGGACCACAAAUGGGUAGAAACCCCUUGCACCCCAGAGAGACCCUGGCUCAGACAGCCUGCUGAACUUAGACCAUGAAGUUUACUAGAGCAACACAUCGUGGGACUCAGGAGACCUCAAAGGAGGUAAGUGGCAGACAGAAGAGGAGGGAAGCCCAGGUAGGGAUGGCGAAGGACAGCUUUGCAGGAUCAGGCCAGGUUGCAGAGGAUUCUGGGAGUCUCUCCCCUCUUCCCAGCACUGCUGACAGGGCUUCUCCCUCUUCCUCCGCGGUUCCCCGAAAUGGAUAUCGGCGGAGUUCAUUUCAGCAUUUCUACUGGCUCAACACUUUCUGGGUUUUCUUUGGGGGAAUUUUUUUUGCCUCGAUUGACAGCGGUUUUCCAUUUCACCUCUCGACGUGGAGGCACACUUUGGCUCUACAAAACAUCUGCUCAAAAAACAAGAACGAGCAGACUUGUCUCCAGAUCGAUUUUCUUUACAUUUGAACAUUUAAAGUUUCAAGACCGGGAGCUGCAAACAGGCAAGACAUGUCGCCGGGGUGACCUGCAGCUGGUAAGUGUUGCUGGUGGAGGGUUUUAACGCCUAGGGAAGCAUCAUGACUGACAGUCACCUGUCCAGAUAAUCAGGCGCCCAGAAAAAGAAAGCUAACCUCUCCGGUUUUGAUUGGAAACAAUGUAAAGGCUGUUUUCCAAUUGGAGCGCUCGCAGGCCAGUGUUUCCCAGUUGUCUGUGUUUAUACAGUGGUACCUCGGGUUACAUAUGCUUCAGGUUACAUACGCUUCAGGUUACAGACUCCGCUAACCCAGAAAUAGUGCUUCAGGUUAAGAACUUUGCUUCAGGAUGAGAACAGAAAUUGUGCUCCGGCGGCGUGGCAGCAGCAGGAGACCCCAUUAGCUAAAGUGAAGCUUCAGGUUAAGAACAGUUUCAGGUUAAGUACGGACCUCCGGAACGAAUUACGUACUUAACCCGAGGUACCACUGUACUACAUUUUCUUUAGAUUUGCCUUGAGAGAGUCUUUAAACCUCUUUUGUUGACCACCGGCAUUACGCUUUCCAUUUUUAAGUUCGAAAUAGAUUACAGUGGAACCUCUACUUAGCACCAUAAUCCAUUCUGGCGGCCCAACCUUUAGGAGAAAAGGGUCGCUGGUAGAAGCACCAUUGUGUGCAUGUGCAGACGGUGGCAGCCACUUCUGCGCAUGUGCAAACAGCAGAAGCCACUUCUGCGUGUGAGCGAAUUGCAGCAAACCCAGUAUUUACUUCUGGGUUUUCCUUGGUUGCGACUUGGAUCAGGCCCAAGUAGAGGCGGUCGUAAGUAGAGGUUCUACUGUAGUUGCUUUGGAAGAUGAUAAUCUGGCAUCUGCACAACACGACCAAUCCAACCAAGUUGAUGUUGAAGAAUCAUUGCUUCGGCACUGGUGAUCUUUGCUUCUUCCAGUACACUGACAUUAGUUCGCCUGUCUUCCCGAGUGAUACGUAACAUUUUUCAGAGACACUGUUGAUGGAAUAUUUCGAGGAGUUGGAGAUAGCAUUUAUAACUGAUCCAUGUUUCACAAGAAUACAGUAAGACUGGUAGUACAAUAGCUUUGGAAACAAGCAUGUUGGUUUCCCGGUCCUCAAACAAUCUGCCCUUCAAUCGGGAGAAAGCUGCACUCACAGAGCUCAGGCAAUGCUGGAUUGCUCCUGGCCAUGGUCUAGCGAUCAGAUCCACCUCUGUUUUGCAGUCAUGGAAACCCCUGUUGUCAGAUUGCAGCCCAUGAGACUUGAACAAACAGCGUCUUCCUUGCACUUUUGCAAGCAUUCAAUCAGGGCACUCUCCCAUGUUAAGCACAAUUCAAACAUUUUCUUCCUACAAAUAUACAACAGCUGCCAGUUUGUCCUUAUAAAAUGUAUUUUAGGAAAGGAGUGUAUGGAGCCCUCAGAUCACAUAGCUCUGGCUUCAUUCCACCCCAAAAUGAGAGAAAAGGUCGAGUUUUUGUUUUCUAUGUUCAGGCCACUAACCCCAACUGGAAAAAAAACCUUCAGUCUCCACUAAUUUAUACACACACUUGUAUUAGGAUGGUGGUGGGAAUAAGUGUCACUGAACUAAACAGAGCCUACUUUUAAGUAGACAAAUAUAUGAUUUCACUGUUAAUUGUUUAAAAUGUGGCCCACAGAUUAUUUAAGAAUCUGUACUAUGUUUCUAAAAGUGGGAGUGGGAGGGGAUUCUUGAGGGGUCAACAUGACUGAACAAAAAUGUUAUCUAUAUCACACAUCCAUAGGCAUCUUAUCUGGCACAAACAAAAUUCUCUACAUUGUUUCUAGCGCAACCUUUUUGCAAUAAGCUUCCUUCACAGUGGUAGGUAUUAUAGCUCACAUAAUAAAGAGGUUCUUUCAUAACAGCCAAACGAUCACCUGAUCAUUGAAUCGAUACUUAGAACAUGAUUCAACAUAAGAGAGAAAUCUUACCCCAUGAGGUUAAGAACUCUGCAGCGUAUCUAUAGAUGCGGUUCAGAACUUCAAUCACAACAGCAUAAAUUAUGCUGGGCACAUACAAUAUUAAGCUGCUUAAUUCGGAUUGGUUCUCUUCAUGAUAUAAAUGCGCCUGGUAUUCCAAUUCAAAGUAAACCAUCAUGACAUAAAGUGAGAAG